GACGAACGCUGGCGGCGUGCCUAAUACAUGCAAGUAGAACGCUGAAGAGAGGAGCUUGCUCUUCUUGGAUGAGUUGCGAACGGGUGAGUAACGCGUAGGUAACCUGCCUUGUAGCGGGGGAUAACUAUUGGAAACGAUAGCUAAUACCGCAUAACAAUGGAUGACACAUGUCAUUUAUUUGAAAGGGGCAAUUGCUCCACUACAAGAUGGACCUGCGUUGUAUUAGCUAGUAGGUGAGGUAAUGGCUAACCUAGGCGACGAUACAUAGCCGGCCUGGGAGGGUGAUCGGCCACACUGGGACUGAGACACGGCCCAGACUCCUACGGGAGGCAGCAGUAGGGAAUCUUCGGCAAUGGGGGCAACCCUGACCGAGCAACGCCGCGUGAGGGAAGAAGGGUUUCGGAUCGGAAAGCUCUGUUGUAAGUGAAGAACGGGUGGGAGAGUGGAAAGUUCACACUGUGACGGUAGCUGACCAGAAAGGGACGGCUAACUACGUG
rnacentral:rRNA from 1 species